rnacentral:rRNA from 1 species
UACGGAGGAUGCGAGCGUUAUCCGGAUUUAUUGGGUUUAAAGGGAGCGUAGACGGGCUUUUAAGUCAGCUGUGAAAGUUUGGGGCUCAACCUUAAAAUUGCAGUUGAAACUGGAGACCUUGAGUACGGUUGAGGCAGGCGGAAUUCGUGGUGUAGCGGUGAAAUGCUUAGAUAUCACGAAGAACCCCGAUUGCGAAGGCAGCCUGCUAAGCCGCCACUGACGUUGAGGCUCGAAAGUGCGGGUAUCAAACAGG